CCAAUUCCGAAUCGCAAUCCCCUCUCGCCCUAAAAAAAAAAAUCGCAAUCCCCUCUCUCAACAGCGUCGCGCGGUUCCUCCCCCCCUCGACUCGGCUCCACCCCGCCCCGCGGUGCGGCGCGACAAGAAAACCCACCAAACCCUAACCCUAGCUGCGGCGCCACCGCCCGCCGGAGGGGGCCCGAGCCAGCCCGCGAGGAUGCCGUCGGGGUCGGCGACGCAGUUCCGCUACACGCAGACGCCGUCCAAGGUGCUGCACCUGCGGAACAUGCCGUGGGAGUGCACCGAGGAGGAGCUCGUCGAGCUCUGCAAGCCCUUCGGCAGGGUCGUCAACACCAUGUGCAACGUCGGCGCCAACCGCAACCAGGCCUUCGUCGAGUUUGCGGAUCAAAACCAGGCAAUUUCAAUGGUUUCCUAUUAUGCUUCAUCUUCAGAACCUGCUCAAGUCCGUGGUAAAACUGUAUAUAUCCAAUAUUCAAACAGGCAAGAAAUUACCAACAAUAAAGGCACUGGUGAUUCUUCUGGCAAUGUCCUGCUUGUCACUUUUGAAGGUGUUCAGCCUAAUGAUGUUACCAUAGAAGUCAUUCAUUUGGUAUUUUCAGCAUUUGGAUUUGUUCACAAGAUAGCUACUUUUGAGAAAGCAGCUGGUUUCCAGGCACUUAUCCAGUAUACUGACACCCCAACUGCUCUUGAAGCUAAAAACUCAUUGGAUGGAAGAAGCAUUCCAAAAUACUUACUUCCAGAACAUAUCAGUGCCUGCCACAUGCGCAUAACCUUUUCUGCGCACAAGGAUUUGAAUAUCAAAUUUCAGUCACACCGCAGCAGGGAUUACACUAAUCCUUAUCUUCCUGUGAACCAAACUGCAAUUGAGGGGGUUGUGCAGCCCACAGUAGGCCCUGAUGGAAAGAUAAAGGAGCCUGAGAGCAAUGUACUUCUAGCAUCAAUUGAGAACAUGCAGUAUGCUGUGACAGUCGAUGUUCUGCACACUGUGUUUUCUGCUUUCGGCACUGUUCAAAAAAUUGCAAUGUUUGAGAAGAAUGGUGGAAUGCAGGCUUUAAUUCAAUAUCCAGAGAGGUGUCGGAGUUCGUGAAGGCAUAGAAUGGACAUCUGCAGCUUUCCACAGCUAUAAAGUUGCCUUUAGUAAUUUCUUGAUCAUUUUUUACCUUUUGCUGUAAGCAUACUCUCUUUCUUACCAGAGGCUUACUACAAACUUUCGUUCUGUCAUCAUUACACUUACCUCAAGAGCAGUACCGCUUUAGGCGUGUUACCUGUUUACCUUUUGGGGAUUAGAGUAGUCACUAGUCAGCACCUCUGUUAUCAACAUGUCUGAGCAGUGUUUCUGCUGUUGAAAAUAGUCCUCCCAUUUGAUUUGUGGUCCUUUUCUUUAGCUUAUCAAGACACAUUUUUGAAAAGUGUGGCAAUCCAAAUGACAUUGAGUGCUCAGUAUUGUUUGCACUAGUUAGUGGUCUAUAGUCGUAAUUGAUCUGCUUUGGAACAAAAAGAAGGUUUAAAUACCCUUCCACAGACUUUUGACAUCAUGCCCUUGGAUCCUUAGCAAACUGUAAAUUCUUUCUUGUUUGCAUUUAAUUGCUAAAUCUGUUUCCCCCCUGCCUUGACACUACAGCAUUAUAAUAUUUAAUAUCUAUACGUAGAUUCAUUUGACUGACAAAAGCUAAAUUUGCAGAUAUAACAACUGCAGCAGUUGCUAAACAAGCCCUGGAGGGACACUGCAUAUAUGAUGGUGGUUACUGCGCAUGAUGAGAGAAGCAGGGAUUACACUCCUUCAGACCCUAAUGCUCAACUGCAAACUGCUGCACAGCCACCAGCUCUAAGCAAUCCAGGAGCGGCAUGGCAGAACACUGAUGCACCAGCUGCUCCGUUUUAUGCAAGCACAGCGGCAUCAGCUCCUGCUGGAGUUGGACAAGUGCCUGCUUGGAAUCCUAACAUGCAGGCAGGGGCUUUCGCAUCUGCAUCCACCCCGUACCUGAGCCAACCAAUGAUGGCAAACUCCAUGCCUCACUAUCCUGCUAUUGGAACCAGCUCGGGCGCCCCACCGGUACCAUUUCAGGCAUCACAGCAGAUGCCCCAGUACGGCAUCCCCCCUGGUGCUCCGCCCCAUGCACCACCAGCUGGCCAGCCAUUGUACUUCCCGAAAUAAGACUCCAUUCGAUGGUAUUGUCAGAGAGCAAUUGCGUGCUACUUGCAGCCGUUUGUGGUCUGCAUAUGCCCCUUCGAAAUUUUGGAAGUGCAUUGUAACUCUUCGAUGUAGCUCUUUGUAACUUGCGACCACGCAUCGCAAGUAUACAUACCUCUGCGCUGGUUGUGUCUCUAAAACUGCCCACCAAAAAUAGAAAUGUUAAUUAAUCUAUUAGCCCGCAUUGUGUAUUGUUGAGCUCAA